rnacentral:rRNA from 1 species
GACGAACGCUGGCGGCGUGCUUAACACAUGCAAGUCGAACGGAAAGGCCCUGCUUUUGUGGGGUGCUCGAGUGGCGAACGGGUGAGUAACACGUGAGUAACCUGCCCUUGACUUUGGGAUAACUUCAGGAAACUGGGGCUAAUACCGGAUAGGAGCUCCUGCUGCAUGGUGGGGGUUGGAAAGUUUCGGCGGUUGGGGAUGGACUGGCGGCUUAUCAGCUUGGUGGUGGGGUAGUGGCUUACCAAGGCUUUGACGGGUAGCCGGCCUGAGAGGGUGACCGGCCACACUGGGACUGAGAUACGGCACAGACUAAUACGGGAGGCAGCAGUGGAGAGUAUUGCACAAUGGGAUGAAGGCUGAUGCAGCAACGCCGCGUGGGGGAUGACGGCCUUCGGGUUGUAAACCGCUUUCGCCUGUGACGAAGCGUGAGUGACGGUAAUGGGUAAAGAAGCACCGGCUAACUACGUG